AACGAACGCUGGCGGCGCGCCUAAUACAUGCAAGUCGAGCGAGAAGACGUAGCAAUACGUUUGUAAAGCGGCGAACGGGUGAGGAAUACAUGGGUAACCUACCCUCGAGUGGGGAAUAACUAGCCGAAAGGUUAGCUAAUACCGCGUACGCUCCUUGGACUUCGGUUCAGGGAGGAAAGCGAUACCGUGGGUAUCGCGCUCUUGGAUGGGCUCAUGUCCUAUCAGCUUGUUGGGAGGUAACGGCUCACCAAGGCUUCGACGGGUAGCUGGUCUGAGAGGACGAUCAGCCACACUGGCACUGCGACACGGGCCAGACUCCUACGGGGAGGCAGCAGUAAGGAUAUUGCGCAAUGGCGAAAGCCUGACGCAGCGACGCCGCGUGGGGGAUGAAGGUCUUCGGAUUGUAAA
rnacentral:rRNA from 1 species